GAUGAACGCUAGCGGCAGGCCUAAUACAUGCAAGUCUAGGGGGCAGCAAUGUCACCGGCGCACGGGUGCGUAACACGUAUGCAACCUACCUAUCACAGGGGUACAGCCUUCCGAAAGGGAGAUUAAUACCGCAUAAUAUUAUUUUACUGCAUGGUUUAAUAAUUAAAGAUUUAUCGGUGAUAGAUGGGCAUGCGCAUGAUUAGCUAGUUGGUGAGGUAACGGCUCACCAAGGCGAUGAUCAUUAGGGGAUCUGAGAGGAUUAUCCCCCACACUGGCACUGGGAUGCGGGCCAGACUCCUACGGGAGGCAGCAGUAGGGAAUAUUGGGCAAUGGGCGCAAGUCUGACCCAGCCAUGCCGCGUGCAGGAAGAAGGCGUUAUGCGUUGUAAACUGCUUUUAUACGGGAAGAAAACGGCCAUGCGUGGCAAACUGACGGUACCGUAUGAAUAAGCACCGGCUAACUCCGUGCCAGCCGCCGCAGUAAUAC
rnacentral:rRNA from 1 species